GAAUUUUCCCUGAGCUUCUCCUUCAUUUUGGAACAUAGCCCACACCAGUGCUUGGGUAGGGUGCACCUUCAUCAAGAAGUUCAGUGUCAUUUCCAACUCAUUUCAUUUUAGUCAUAAAUUUAAAAAAAUUAAUGUAUGAUGGGCAAGGGUCAUGCAUGUGCCAGAGUGUACAUAUCAGGUCAGUUGUAUAGUCAGAUCUCUGCUGUAUUUUUAUACGAGGGGUCAAACUUACAGCACAGUAGUGCUUUCCCAUGCUGUAACGAUCUUACAGGUUCUUUGCCAUGACAGAAAGGCUUGUUGAAGUCCUGUUUUACCUCACAAGUGAGGCAUCACAUGCGUGGCUGUGUCCCAGGUCAUCUUAUUUUCAAAGGUUUACUUUGUGGUUGAGGCUGACCUGGAACUGACUCUCCACUCAGCUCACAGGCCUUCAGCUUUCAGCCCUCCGCCUCAGACUCCUGAGUGCUGGGAUUACAGGUGUCUUGUCACCAUGCCCAUCUUGUUCUUGGUGUUUAAAAUGAAGUUCUUAGCUGGGCAGUGUGGUGGCUUCAGUUCCAGUAGUUGGGAGACAGGCAGACAGGUCUCUUGAGUUCCAGGACAGCCAGGCCUACACAGAGAAGCCCUGUCUUGGGGGGAGUAUUUUUAGCUUUGGGCACCUUGCCUGUCUUUCUUAAUUGCCCUGAGUUCCAUCCAUGAUGCUUUUUCUAGGAAUACCAGGUUCCUGCCACUUCCUCUUCCUUGGUGACUCACAAACACCAUUGAAACUUGGGUCUAUGUCUCUAGCUCUGUGUGUGUGUGUCUCCCUCCUGUGGUAUUCAUUGUUUCACCUCAAAAUGCUGUUCUUUAUUUUGAGUGUCCCGUGUUGCUUGCCAUAAUAGGGUUUUUUGUAUUGCAGCAAUAUUCAUUUUUUUGUUUUUGUUUUUUCGAGACAGUGUCUCUCUGUGUAGCCCUGGCUGUCCUGGAACUCACUUUGUAGACCAGGAAGACCUCGAACUCAGAAAUCCUCCUGCCUCUGCCUCCCAAGUGCUGGGAUUAAAGGCAUGUGCCACCAUGCCCGGCAAUAUUGACUUUAAAUGUAGUAAAUGCCUGAAUCUGCCCAGCGAUGGAGCUGCCAUAGUAUUUUGUCCCCCUUCCAUCUCCAAUGGAAGUUUCUUAUUACCCCUCAGUAGAUACACUGGAAUCUUAGCAAUUUCAAGUAUCAAGGAAAAAAUUUUUAUCCCAAUCUGAGAGGCAGUGUGCCAUACUUUUUAAUUCCUCCCCACUUACUUUGGACAUAUUAGUGUCAUAUCUUAUAUUUUAAUUUUAUUGUUACACAAAAAAUGAAAAUCACCUUAGCUGGGCAUGGUUGUGUGUGUCUGCAGUACCAGCACACAGAAGGCAGAGGCAGUUGGAGCUCUUGAGUCAAGAGAAGGCAGACAUCUACAUCUCAGAAUCCUAGGUCAGCCUUAGGAAGACUUUCUUUAAAACAAAACAAAAUAGAAGAGAUCUGAAACUGGAGAGUACAGGUGUAAAAAUCCUUAGCAGGAUUUAUUUGUGACUUUUUCUUUUGAAAAUAGCAAGGAAAAGCCAGGCAUGAUGGUAGAUGCCUUUAAUUCCAGGACUUAAGAGGCAGAGAAAGGCAGGGGGGUGUCUGUGAGUUCAGGGGCAGCCUGGUCCACAUAGUCCCAGGAAACCCAGGGCUUUGUAUAGAGACCCUGUCUCAAAACAAGACAAACAAAAAUGGCAGAAGACUAUUGGAACUCUGAGUGAUGGUAGUGAGAUCAGUCACCCUGCUUUUCAAGCAGCAGGCUCAUUGCCCAAGUGCCUUGGUGCCUUACAUGGCCGAAGUAAAGUGUUCAUCUCCCCGUGGCCAUGCCCUUCCUGGGCUUAAAGCAGGAAAGAAAGCCCCUUGAAAGCACAGCUAUAGAAGGAAAGAGAUAGGUUCACGUAUGCUCUGAGAACUAGGGUGCCUCUCUGCUCUUGGUGCGAUAUGGAGAAUAUGCCUCCCUGUGCGUGCGUGUACAUGAACAGUGAUCUUUGAGUCUUGAUACUAUGCUGAGACUACAAGACUAACCAUGCUUUUUAUAUUGGUAGCUGAUCCUACUCUCACAUAAAUGUUAUUCUUGAGUUUGGAAGUUUUACAGGUUUGAAUUUAAGAGAUUUUUUGUUUUUGUUGUUGUUUUCUGUUACAGUUUUUAAAGCUUCUUCCUAUUUUUGUUUGUACCCACAGGUUCGAGAACUUGUCUUGGACAAUUGCAAAGCAAUGGAUGGAAAAAUUGAGGGGUUAACAGAUGAAUUUGUGAACUUAGAGUUCCUCAGUUUAAUAAGUGUAGGCUUGUUUUCAGUUUCAGACCUCCCGAAGCUACCUAAGUUGAAAAAGGUAAGUAUUCUUUCAUUGUUAAGAGGAUGAUUGAGAAGGAGGAAUGCAUGGGUUUCUGUGUGCUGUAAGCACGUGUGUUUUAGUGGCCCACGACACUGAGAUUGGGCGGCUACCUUCCGUCCUAAGGUGGCUCAGCUUCAUUUUCAUCACUGGUGGUUACACUUGACCCUGCAAUGUUGCAACAGUGUUUUGAAAAUAAUGCCUUAUUAUAAGAGAGAGUUGCUUUAUAAAUAAUUGGUUAGUUGUCAAAAGCUUUAUUUUGUUAGCUACUUUUUGUGCUUAUGCUAUGUUCAGGAGACACAAGAGCCUCUCACUUUCUGUGCUUUAAUUUGUAUGCUGAUGAGAAGGAAAGUGAAGACUGACUGUGGGGUGUGCGUGUGGUACCUACCCUCCAAAGGCAUCUCAGAUGAGGGGGCGAAGUUACAGGCAGUUUACAACUGCCCCCAUGGGUAGUGAAAAUCAAACCCAUCUUCUGCAAGGACAGAAAGUGCUCUUGACUGCUGAGCCAUCUCUAGCUAGUCCUGUCAUGAAAUUCUUAAUAACUAGUUUGAAAUGUGUUGUGAUUGACUAGAAAGAGCUGUGUAAGAAAGCCUGCGACAGGCCAAAUCUGGUGGUAUCUGCCUGUAAUCCAGCUCUUAGCAGAAACAUGUAAAGGACUGUGGGGUCCCUCUAGACAGCCACUGCCUCCUAUGUCUGUGUCCCCAGCCACCACCACCACCCC
rnacentral:lncRNA from 1 species